AACAAUAAUAUUUGGGAAAUUUGCAUAUUUAUAACAAAAUGUGAACGUAUUUACAUCUCGUAUAACAAAACAAAACUCGUUGAGGCCCACAAUUCAAUUUUUAAUUACAAAAAUACCCUCCAUCGGAUCUCAAUCAUUUCGCGGGACAACAUCUUCUUUUUCACCAUGAUUUCUCCUUCUUCUUCAACUCAAUCACAAAGAUACGCGAUUAGACGUCUUCUUUUUCCUCAUGAUGGCAGAUUGCACUGGGCUGGCGAAAGCAUAGGUUUUGUCCUCACGACGGUAGAUCGCAUCAGCCCAGCAACAGUGGCAGGGUAAGGAUAGGUCAGGAAUGGGGACAUGGAAUGUAUUCCUCGCCCUCAUCACUAUUUGCUCAACCGGCAGAAAUUUCUUCCUGCUCCCCACUCAUCCCUCAUUCAUUGUUCAUUUGGGAAUUCCUUAACUUUUUUAAGUCGGGUCCCCAUGAGACCCGAACCCACUGACUAAAUGGAUCUCUUCUUUUACUAUUUUGGAGUGGUUUUAUAACCUUUUGCCGAGAUUUUUUUGACUAUUUUUCAAAAACCUUUCUUAAUGUGGCCAUAGUGGUUUGGACUCUACAACAUGCAUGCGUAAAACAAAGACAAAUUUUUUCUUUGUUACUUAAAUAAAAAGAAUGAAACUCAUUUAUUAAAUAAACUUUAAAAUAAUAAAAUCAAUUAAAUCCAUGUUUGGGGUCACCUGUCCAAAGUUAUAACAAAUAAGUUAAAGAAAAAGUAAAAUAAUCAAAUAUCCUAAACAUUGGAUGUCUGUCUAGUUCUUGCAUUCUUACAAGCAUUAUAUUACAAAAUUAAAUGACGUUGAGCACGUUUAAAAAAAAUAUUACGUCUCUCAUGCACACUUGAGUCUUUCGUCUGACUAUCUUUUACGAAAGGUAAGGCCUUACUAGUGCCAAUUUAGUAAUGCAUGUGUAACGCCCCAACAAUUUGGAAUUUAAUUUUUUCAUCUUAAGCAUAGUUAUUGAAACCUUGGACGUUGUUAUUAAUGAAAUCUUGGUGGUGUAAUUAUUUAAGUGCGAGAAUAAAAUAAUUUCUCUAAUUGGAUAAUUAAAUUUGGUAAGGUUGUUUGUUGAAGAUAAGAUAAUUUAGUUAAGUUAAUGUGAUAUUUUAUUUGGAAAAGAAUAUAUAUAUUUAUGAAAGGGAGUGUUGUGAUUGGAUGAUUUUGAAAAUUUAAGAUAUUGGGAGUUUUAAUUGAAGAGAGAAGAUUUGUUGGUUUUGAAUUAAAUGAAGGGAAAAGAAAAAGGGAAUUUAUUAUUGGGUUCGUUUUAUAAAUGAGCCUUGGGACCCGUGCACAAGAAUAAUUAAAAAAAAAAAAGAAAAAAAGGGAAAAAGGAAUAGGAAGAAACCCUAGCUACCGCGAUUCGUCGCUCUCCGCCGCCUCCGUCGUGCAGCCGAUUCGCCCAAGCUCUUCCAUCAGGUGCUCGUUCAGCCGCGUCUCCAGCCGUUCGCGUGGAGCCCCGCCGUCCAUCCUUCUUUCACUCCGUUCGGACCCCUUCGCCUGGGAGCCGUCGCAACCAUCCAUUCUCCGUCACGGUCUGCCGCUCCUCGUUGCAGGUCAAUCGGUUGGUAGCGCCGGUCGUCGUCGAGGCCAGCCCCAUCGGGACGUCGUCCCGAUCUAAACCCAAAAACUCGAGCCACAUUACCCAUCUGUUCCACGCCUAUCCAUCCGAUCGUCUUGAGCGAGUCGAACGCCACCCGCGACCGUAGCCGACCCGAACAGCCGCGUCGCGCCUCGCCUUGACCCGGAUUCCAACCUGUGCCCCUCUUUGUGAGCCGAACGCCAGCCGUCUGCGUCUGCAACCCGCACGCACGCCGCGCCCGCACCACUAAUCGAGCCACACGCCACGCGAGCCACACGCCCGCAUGAGCCGUGCCUUCUACCGCAAGCCGAGCUGAGCGCCUUCAAGCCGAGCCGAUCCCUACUCUUCCAGUCGAGCCGCUAAAUCCUUUUGAACCACCUAGCCUUUUUUCGGUCCUUUGCACCUAUUUUUAGUAAGUCAAAUGGGUUUUUAGCACACCCAGCCAAGACUUGAAUUUUUAACCUAAAUAAUUUAAUUUGGAUUAAAUUGAAUUAUUUCUCUUAAAGAACAUCUUGGACCAAUGGACUUUGGAGCGUUGGAUUUCUCCAGUUCAGGACCAUCUCCUUGUAACCCGACCACGAGUAAGUUAUUCCAACUAAAUUUUUGAGUUAUUGGGUCGCUUGGUGAAUUAGUUAUGAAAAUUGGCGUUAUUAAACAUUUAGGACCUCGCUGCUUGGAAAGCGCAUUUUCUUGCUGUUAGAACUCGUUGAGCAAAUCUCCAGGUAAGAGAUUUCUACUACUAGCCCUACGACUAGAAUCAUGAGACUGCAUGCAUUCCUAGUUAUGCACAUUGAGGACUAAACUGUAUAACGAUAUGUCGAUUAAUAAGGGCAUGAUGUGACAUGAUGUGAUUUGAUAUGAUGACAUGGUAUUAAAGUGAUGACGUGACUUGUUACGACAUUAUGUUUUGGCUUUAUGAUGAGAUGUGAUUUGAUGAUUAGACUGAUAUGAUUACGUGAUGAUGCUAUGUUAUAUGUAUGCUAUGGUUAAGGUACCUGUUCGCUUAGCCUAUUAGAGUCGUACCUGCAUGGGUGUCCUUCGGGAUCAUCACCUAUUUAGGACUGCGUAGUCCGACGGGACCGCCAAUCUGGCAUGGAUAUAGAUAUGAUUCGAGUGAUUCGACGGGAUCCUCGCAGCCCGAUUAUCUUAGUGUUUCCUCCGGGUUCGCUAUAGACCAGUAUGUCCUAGGUGCUCCCCCGGCACACCGAAGACCAGAUUCUGUUCUUACAAGAGCGCAUGUUGCACGUGUUCGGGAACGUGCCAGUUAUUAGGUAGAGGUAGAGGUAAGGGCAAGGGCAAGUUGGCGGGCGACCAGAAGUGACCAUGGCGAGCCAUAGGGAUUUCUGCUUCCGCUUUACACCCCGUUUAAACUUUUAGUAUUUGAGUUUUUAUUAUUCUUUAUUUACUAUUUUGUUUCUUUAAAAGUAGAUAGGGCCUGUGUAGGAUUUUAACAGUUGUUUACAUUUCGCACAUUACCCUGAUUUGGUUUUUAAAUAAAUAAAAUUUUGAAGUUUUGUUCCU